UGGUGGCUGGGGAACGGAUAGAAAGUUGGCUGAAAUUGGGGAAAAUCCAGGGUACUGUGUCUUCUUCUUCUUCAGGGUCAAAGAAACCAUUCGGUAAUGAUGGGCAGAGGAAGAAAGAAGGGGAUACCAGCGAUGUGUACUCACAACGAGGACCCAGUAGGGACCGUUACUUCCAGCACAAUGCUGCAGUAACCAUUCCUGCUGAGUCUCAGCCUGCACAAUCGCAACAGCAGCAACAACAACAACAAAG
rnacentral:lncRNA from 1 species